UUUUCUGUUGGGAAUUUCAUGGCCAGGUGCGGUGUUGACACGAUUGCUCCUAACUUAUUUAAGGAAGAUCGUCCUAACAACACAUUGUAUGAAGUGGAUGCAUCCACCACCAGAUAUCGGAUUUUAAUUUUUUUAAUUUUGCUACCUCUUCCAAAUGUUGUUAUCAAAUCAACAUACCCUUUUGUGUUAACUCUUUCACCCGAAAACCAAUGAUUUGCUCUCGGAAAGGCACUAUGUCUUCUUCUCUCAAAUGUAACCUUUUAAACGUAUCCCAGAACAAGAUAUCAACCGAACUCCCUUGAUCAACCAAGGUCUUCAUGAUAGCAUAUUCGGCUAUUUCAACUGUGAUCACCAUAGGAUCAUCAUGAUCUGGAUCAAUUUCUUGAAAGUCUUCAUCUGUGAAAAGCAUUGGUGGUAAAGUUCUUCUUUUAAAAACAUGAUUAACAGCCCGGAUAUUUCUCCAAUGUUGCUUUCUUGCUGACGAGGAUUCCUUCCCAGAAAAACCCCCUGAGAUCGUAUUUAUAAACCCCCUAACCGGCC
rnacentral:lncRNA from 1 species